UGCCUAGCUAGCUCAGUUGGUAGAGGAUGAGUCUCUUAAUCUCAGGGUUGUGGGUUUGAGCCCCAUGUUAGGC